ACUGUAUUCUCUCCGUCCAACAAAUGAUGUCUCAACUUUGAUUAAAUUUGAAUGCAUCUAUACACUAAGUUAUGUCUAGAUAUAUUCAAAUUUUGACAAACUUGAUACAUGUUUUGUUGGAUGGAGAGAUUACAUC
rfam:Brachypodium distachyon strain Bd21 chromosome 3, whole genome shotgun sequence.